AAGUUCCUAACUUCCUGUUUCAUUGACCAAUCAAAUUUUAAAUUUUAUUUUUGAGCAAUCUGAUUGGUCAAUGAAACAGGAAGUUAGGACU
rnacentral:miRNA from 1 species